UACGUAGGUGGCAAGCGUUGUCCGGAUUUACUGGGCGUAAAGGAUGCGUAGGCGGUUAUUUAAGUCAGAUGUGAAAUUCCCGGGCUCAACUUGGGAGCUGCAUUUGAAACUGGGUAUCUAGAGUGCGGGAGAGGAGAGUGGAAUUCCUAGUGUAGCGGUGAAAUGCGUAGAGAUUAGGAAGAACACCAGUGGCGAAGGCGACUCUCUGGACCGUAACUGACGCUGAGGCAUGAAAGCGUGGGGAGCAAACAGG
rnacentral:rRNA from 1 species